rnacentral:rRNA from 1 species
GUGGGGAAUAUUGGACAAUGGGCGAAAGCCUGAUCCAGCCAUGCCGCGUGAGUGAUGAAGGCCUUAGGGUUGUAAAGCUCUUUCAGUAGGGAAGAUAAUGACGGUACCUACAGAAGAAGCCCCGGCUAACUUCGUGCCAGCAGCCGCGGUAAUACGAAGGGGGCUAGCGUUGUUCGGAAUUACUGGGCGUAAAGCGCACGUAGGCGGACAUUUAAGUCAGGGGUGAAAUCCCGGGGCUCAACCUCGGAACUGCCUUUGAUACUGGGUGUCUCGAGUCCGGAAGAGGUGAGUGGAAUUCCGAGUGUAGAGGUGAAAUUCGUAGAUAUUCGGAGGAACACCAGUGGCGAAGGCGGCUCACUGGUCCGGUACUGACGCUGAGGUGCGAAAGCGUGGGGAGCAAACAGGAUUAGAAACCCCAGUAGUCC